UACGUAGGGGGCAAGCGUUGUUCGGAAUUACUGGGCGUAAAGGGCGCGUAGGCGGCCUGUUAAGUCGAACGUGAAAUCCCCGGGCUCAACCCGGGAACUGCGUCCGAUACUGGAAGGCUUGAAUCCGGGAGAGGGAUGCGGAAUUCCAGGUGUAGCGGUGAAAUGCGUAGAUAUCUGGAGGAACACCGGUGGCGAAGGCGGCAUCCUGGACCGGCAUUGACGCUGAGGCGCGAAAGCCAGGGGAGCAAACGGG
rnacentral:rRNA from 1 species